ACACUAUGCAGAGUGUGAUGUAAAGUAGGC
rnacentral:piRNA from 1 species